AGCUUUGCACAGUGGCAGUGUUGUAGUCCAUGAGGUUUAUCCAAGGCACGAUUAUUGUUAAUUGAAAACUUUUCCCAGUACUCUGCUGUGACAACUUGUAAUACAGUUCACACUGGCAAUUUUUGACACUCUCUAUGGAGA